AGCAGCCGCGGUAAUUCCAGCUCCAAUAGCGUAUAUUAAAGUUGUUGCAGUUAAAAAGCUCGUAGUUGAAUUUCGGGAUCAGUACGCUGGUCAUGCCUUUGGUAUGCACUGGUGUCACUGGUUUCUCCCUUCUGAAGAUCCGUGAUGUCAUUAAUUUGGUGUCGCGGGGAAUCAGGACUGUUACUUUGAAAAAUUAGAGUGUUUAAAGCAGGCUCACACUUGAAUACAUUAGCAUGGAAUAAUGAAAUAGGACGUUUGACCCUAUUUUGUUGGUUUCUAGGAUCGACGUAAUGAUUAAUAGGGAUAGUUGGGGGCAUUAGUAUUCAAUUGUCAGAGGUGAAAUUCUUGGAUUUAUUGAAGACUAACUACUGCGAAAGCAUUUGCCAAGGAUGUUUUCAUUAAUCAAGAACGAAAGUUAGGGGAUCGAAGACGAUCAGAUACCGUCGUAGU
rnacentral:rRNA from 1 species